GACUGCUCCGGUGGUCUACUGGUUAAAGCGUCCGCCUCAGAUGCGGGAGGUCAUGAGUUCGAUCUUCAGCCGAGUCA